CAGUAGCCGCGGGAAUACGAAGGGUGCAAGCGUUAAUCGGAAUUACUGGGCGUAAAGCGCGCGUAGGUGGUUUGGUAAGAUGGAUGUGAAAUCCCCGGGCUCAACCUGGGAACUGCAUCCAUAACUGCCUGACUAGAGUACGGUAGAGGGUGGUGGAAUUUCCUGUGUAGCGGUGAAAUGCGUAGAUAUAGGAAGGAACACCAGUGGCGAAGGCGACCACCUGGACUGAUACUGACACUGAGGUGCGAAAGCGUGGGGAGCAAACAGGAUUAGAUACCCCCGUAGUCCCUGUACUUAUACA
rnacentral:rRNA from 1 species